ACAAGUGUUGCCUGGAUAAUCCGGCUUUUCUGGUAUUCAUCAGCACCUCUCCCUUCUCUUCGCCUUCUCUGGUGAUCACCUUGUUUAGUUUCGUAAGGCCUGCUCAGGCCGCCAGAAUGGACUAAGGGAAGUAAAAGUGUAUUAACUUAUUAGGCGAGUUACAUUUUAUGAAAGUUAAAUUUUGUACCGUACACAAUAAAAGUAAGAACAAUGU
rnacentral:sRNA from 1 species